UACGAAGGGGGCAAGCGUUGUCCGGAUUUAUUGGGCGUAAAGAGCGUGUAGGCGGGCAAGCAGGUCCGCUGUGAAAACUCGAGGCUCAACCUCGAGACGUCGGUGGAAACCGUUUGGCUAGAGUCCGGAAGAGGAGAGUGGAAUUCCCGGUGUAGCGGUGAAAUGCGCAGAUAUCGGGAAGAACACCCGUGGCGAAGGCGGCUCUCUGGGACGGUACUGACGCUGAGACGCGAAAGCGUGGGGAGCGAACAGG
rnacentral:rRNA from 1 species